UGCGUAGGCGGAAAAUUAAGUCAGUGGUGACAUCCUGCAGCUUAACUGUAGAACUGUCAUUGAUACUGAUUUUCUUGAAUAUAGUUGAGGUAGGCGGAAUGUGUAAUGUAGCGGUGAAAUGCUUAGAUAUUACACAGAACACCGAUUGCGAAGGCAGCUUACUAAGCUAUUAUUGACGCUGAGGCACGAAAGCGUGGGGAGCGAACAGGAUUAGAUACCCUGGUAGUCC
rnacentral:rRNA from 1 species